rnacentral:rRNA from 1 species
UGCAGAAUYCCGUGAAUCAUCGAGUCUUUGAACGCAAGUUGCGCCCGAGGCUUCGGCCGAGGGCACGUCUGCCUGGGCGUCGCAC